rnacentral:tRNA from 1 species
AUACUCUAAUAGUUUAUAAAAAACGUU